rnacentral:misc_RNA from 1 species
AAGGAGUCUAACAUCUAUGCGAAUGUUUGGGUGUCAAGCCCGAGCGCGUAAUGAAAGUGAACGGAGGUGGGAACCCGCAAGGGUGCACCAUCGACCGAUCCUGAUGUCUUCGGAAGGAUUUGAGUAAGAGCAUGGCUGUUGGGACCCGAAAGAUGGUGAACUAUGCUUGAAUAGGGUGAAGCCAGAGGAAACUCUGGUGGAGGCUCGCAGCGGUUCUGACGUGCAGAUCGAUCGUCAAAUUUGGGCAUAGGGGCGAAAGACUAAUCGAACUAUCUAGUAGCUGGUUCCUGC